rnacentral:lncRNA from 1 species
CCUGACUAUUUUUAGAACACCUACUUAAAGUUGAAUGGGGAGAUCUGUCCAUUUUUAGAGCUAAUCACCAAAAGUAUAAACAUCCCACUUAUUCAUUAAGUGGGAGGUCUGUGACCCACAUGUGCAAUAGUGGGUGAUGAAUAAGAAUCGACUGACUCCUGGGCAGUACUAAGCAAGGCUUUAAACUAUGAUUUGUCCACAUAAAAAGUGGAGGAAGACACAGGAAGUGAUGUGAGAUAAAGUGUCUUUAAAAGGGAAUGACAACUUCCUGAAGGAGUUCUAUUGGGACUUCAUUCUUUGGAGUGGAGGUUGAAGGAGAAAUCUGCUGACUGGACCUGAGACCCUAUUCCUGAUGAUAUUGUUGGACUGACACAUGAAACACUGAAGACUGCAUUACUCAAUAACUUACAAGCUGAAACUCUUUCCAGGCUUGCUUUCACAAGAAAAUGGAUAUUUUUCAAGCUGAACUCCUUAUGGCAUGGACUUGAGGGCCAUUAUCAUUCUCUUUGCUCUUCUAUGGAUGCUCUCCAGUUUGCCUUUAAAUGAGACUGCUGCCACACUCUCUGAUACUGCUAAAAGGAACUUCAGAAAUGGAAAACCUUUCUGGACAUCUUUGAAAAACUUCCACAGAACAUGGUGCAGCCCAGACUCAUGGUUGGUUAGGAGGACAAAGUCAGUGUGUAACCCUUGUGUCAGGAGUUUUCACAUGAUCUGGAGGAUUCUCAUGCAGACAUUUGCAGGAGAAUGAACAGCCAAACAAGUUGUACUUGCUGAGUAAACUGUCCAGCUGGGAUAUGAAACCUGCCAAAAGGAAAGCAAGAGAAUGAGCAACCAUGAAGUUUAGAACUGCUUGUUAGAAACUGAGAGAACUGGUCUUCUCUGGGAUUAUCCCAAAAGGAAACCCUGACACAGGUGAGGGGGAGUUAUCAAAAAAAUGCUAGGGCCAUCUAGCAGUUGGAAAUCAGUCUCAAUUGUCCCUCUUUGUGAAAGUAGGAAGAAUUUAAUUUUAUUUUAAAAUAGUCAACUUGGAUUGUAAUAGAUGUGAAAUUUGAUAAAACUAUUUGUAUUCUGAGUUAGUUUUCAAAGUCCUUUGACACAAAAGAAAGCUUACUAGAUUGGAAGUCAAAAGACUUGGAUUCUGGUUCCAGAUCUUCUACUAGCCAGCUUUGUGACCUUGAUUAUGACAUUAAACUUCUGUUUUUCUCAACUAUUAUAUGAAAGAUUGUGACUAUAUUAUUUCUAGGGCAAAUUCCAACUCCACUAUCAUCUAAGCAGGCUCUAAAAUUUCUUCUAAAUCUACACAUUUAGGACCAUCUUGUCCCUUAUUGCAUCCUCUUGCAAUGUCCUCUCUUCUCAAUUUAAUACCUGGGUGACAGUGUCAGCAGUGGUG